rnacentral:rRNA from 1 species
GCAGUCGAGCGGACAGAAGGGAGCUUGCUCCCGGAUGUUAGCGGCGGACGGGUGAGUAACACGUGGGUAACCUGCCUGUAAGACUGGGAUAACUCCGGGAAACCGGAGCUAAUACCGGAUAGUUCCUUGAACCGCAUGGUUCAAGGAUGAAAGACGGUUUCGGCUGUCACUUACAGAUGGACCCGCGGCGCAUUAGCUAGUUGGUGGGGUAAUGGCUCACCAAGGCGACGAUGCGUAGCCGACCUGAGAGGGUGAUCGGCCACACUGGGACUGAGACACGGCCCAGACUCCUACGGGAGGCAGCAGUAGGGAAUCUUCCGCAAUGGACGAAAGUCUGACGGAGCAACGCCGCGUGAGUGAUGAAGGUUUUCGGAUCGUAAAGCUCUGUUGUUAGGGAAGAACAAGUGCGAGAGUAACUGCUCGCACCUUGACGGUACCUAACCAGAAAGCCACGGCUAACUACGUGCCAGCAGCCGCGGUAAUACGUAGGUGGCAAGCGUUGUCCGGAAUUAUUGGGCGUAAAGGGCUCGCAGGCGGUUUCUUAAGUCUGAUGUGAAAGCCCCCGGCUCAACCGGG